AAAAAAAAACUAAAACAAAGGGGAAACCUCUGCUAGGUUUUCCUUAACCCAAACUCCCCCCAGCCGCCACAACCACUUCAGCGAGCCUCAAGCUUCCCUCCGACUCCGAUUCGGGCAAAGGAAAUAGGGCUCCGUCUUCCUCCACGCAGGUAGGUACUGGAUUAAAGUACGUAGGCUAUGCGAGUGCGACGUGCGCGACGUGCGCGACAUGCGGGGCUACUGUGUGUUCGUGCGUGGAGGCGGUUGUGCGGCACCGAGGCUGGGAAGAGGGCUACUGCUAGGGUUCUUUCUGCUUCUGUUUUGUAUUUUGGGCUAGUGCUAGGGUUAAUAAUUUGGGCCUUAUUCAGCCGAAUGCAUUUAGUUUUUAUUUGGGCUGUAGUGUUUAGUUUUUGGGUUUGUUAGGCCCGGGCAAAAUUUGGGCUUUACAUCACCCUUUAUCGCUUUUUAAUCACCUAUUCAUUACUUCCUCAUCGCAGGUACCGGAGAUCAAAAGGCCAAGUUAGGAGGGUCAAAUUUUGGAAUUUUUAAAAUUUUUAAAAUUUUUAUAUAAAUUAAUAUAUAAUAUUCAUUAAAAUA